GACGAACGCUGGCGGCGUGCCUAAUACAUGCAAGUAGAACGCUGAAGGAGGAGCUUGCUUCUCUGGAUGAGUUGCGAACGGGUGAGUAACGCGUAGGUAACCUGCCUGGUAGCGGGGGAUAACUAUUGGAAACGAUAGCUAAUACCGCAUAAGAGUAGAUGUUGCAUGACAUUUGCUUAAAAGGUGCAAUUGCAUCACUACCAGAUGGACCUGCGUUGUAUUAGCUAGUUGGUGGGGUAACGGCUCACCAAGGCGACGAUACAUAGCCGACCUGAGAGGGUGAUCGGCCACACUGGGACUGGGACACGGCCCAGACUCCUACGGGAGGCAGCAGUAGGGAAUCUUCGGCAAUAGACGGAAGUCUGACCGAGCAACGCCGCGUGAGUGAAGAAGGUUCUCGGAUCGUAAAGCUCUGUUGUAAGAGAAGAACGAGUGUGAGAGUGGAAAGUUCACACUGUGACGGUAUCUUACCAGAAAGGGACGGCUAACUACGUG
rnacentral:rRNA from 1 species